CCUACGGGAGGCGGCAGUGGGGAAUAUUGGACAAUGGGCGAAAGCCUGAUCCAGCCAUGCCGCGUGUGUGAAGAAGGCCUUCGGGUUGUAAAGCACUUUCAGUGGGGAAGAAAGCCUUGGGGCUAAUACCCUCGAGGAAGGACAUCACCCACAGAAGAAGCACCGGCUAACUCCGUGCCAGCAGCCGCGGUAAUACGGAGGGUGCGAGCGUUAAUCGGAAUUACUGGGCGUAAAGCGCGCGUAGGCGGUCUGAUAAGCCGGUUGUGAAAGCCCCGGGCUCAACCUGGGAACGGCAUCCGGAACUGUCAGGCUAGAGUGCAGGAGAGGAAGGUAGAAUUCCCGGUGUAGCGGUGAAAUGCGUAGAGAUCGGGAGGAAUACCAGUGGCGAAGGCGGCCUUCUGGACUGACACUGACGCUGAGGUGCGAAAGCGUGGGUAGCAAACAGGAUUAGAUACCCUAGUAGUC
rnacentral:rRNA from 1 species